GGUCAAUCGGCUGCCAGCCGGAUUGGCCGGCGUAUCAUUCCAGAAUGUACUGUUUGUUCUGUGGGGUUUAGGAGUUCUACAGUGGUUCUGCCCCAUCUUUCUAAAAAUACAAUACAGUGUUUCACUAUGUUACCCAGGCUGGUCUUGAACUCCUGGGCUCAAGUGAUCCUCCCACUUUGGCCUCUCAAAGCACUGGGAUUACAGGGUCUUACUCUGUCGCCCAGGCUGGAGUACAGUGGUGUGAUAUCGGCUCACUGCAACCUCUACCUACCUGGUUCAAGUGAUUCUCCUGCCUCAGCCUCCCGAGUAGCUGGGACUACGGACUUGCCAAAGAAGCUGCUUAUUUCACAGAAGGAUGGUGCUGGCUGAAAGAUACUUCCUUGAAACUGAGAGAUUGCUUCCUUAGACAGGUCUCCUUGAAGAGAAUCCCACUCUGUCAGCCCGGCUGGAGUGCAAUGGCGCAGUCUUGGCUCGCUGCAACAUCUACCUCCCAGGUUCAAGUGAUUCUCCUGCCUCAGCCUCCCAAGUAGCUAGGAUUACAGGCUUGCACCACCACACCUGGCUAACUUUUUGUGUUUUUAGUAGAGACGGGCUUUCCCUAUGUUGGCCAGACUGGUCUCAAACUACUGGCCUCAAGUGAUUUACCCACCUUGGCCUCCCAAAUUUCUGGGAUUACAGGCAUGAGCCACCGAGCGCAGUCCUGACUCUGCUCUUGGGAUACCUGAGAGUACUGUGUUAUAUGAAUAUCUGAUCUACCUAUGGAUUCAGCCGACCUAAAGUUGUUGAAUUCUUAAGCCACCACCCCCUUCUCACCAGGCGCUUCUUGCCGCUGCCAUGAGAAGAAGGAUGUUUGCUUCCCCCUCUGCCAUGAUUGUUAAGUUUCCUGAGGCCUCCUGAGCCAUGCUGAACUGUUUCAUUUCAACCCCAUGUUUUGGGAACUGUUUGGAACAGACUAAUCAGCUCUAAAUUCUGGAAUCUUCCACCUUCUUUAUCUUCAAAGGGAUGGUUACAUAUUCUGGCUAAGUUCUGUAUCAAGGAAACUCACAAGCUUCUGAGAAUAGAGACUUGACUUUCCAGAGUGGAACUUUGUAGAAAGAAGCUUGAUAUGGUAAUUGAAGGGCAAUGCUCCUAAAGAUAUGAACUAUUUGGGAGGCCAUUACAUUAAUGCCUUCAGCUUUCCGCACAGCCCAUAUUGCUUUGGUGGACGCUUUGAAAUGUCUGGUCGUUAUAACUCAGUCACUCAAGACACCUCACUUAAAAAUUCUAGUUAUGGAAUAAUUGUGAUGCCAUAGGAAGAAAAUUAAGCAAGCUGUCUACUCUUGGGAAAUGUUAACAAAUGCCUGUGCAUACUGUGAAGAGUCCACGGGGAAGAAAAUGAGCCACACAAGAUGGUCCCACCUAUAUUUAUUAUACACUGAUCACUAUGAAGACAUAAAGAUUUGUUAAAAGUGGCCUUUGAAGAGCAUGUAAUUGUGUCCAGAAUUGGCGGGUUCUUGGUCUCACUGACUUCAAGAAUGAAGCCGCAGACCCUCACGGCUAAGACAUCCAAGGUCAAAGGGCCUACAUCUGGUGAAGGUCUUGCUGCUUUAUCCCAUGGUGGAAGGCAGAUGGGUUCACAGAAAAUAGAAAUUCUUUACACAGUCUUCUGAUCAAUAGAAUCAAAGCCCUUUUUCUGUAAAUACUGGCUAGAGAGUUGCUAACUUCCAUAAUGGAGAAAUGGAAAAAGCAGUUUCUUUCUCCAAUAAAACCACAAAAGCCAUGGUUUUAAAAGAAACUAUAGAGGAUUUCUUGUGUGGAGUCCUUAGCUUUGUGACUGCUGAGAUUUAAGACAUAGGAAAUCAUGACUUCCUCGUGGCAGCCUCAUGAUUCUGAGAUCACAGCACGUGCAUUUGGUACAGCCAGCAGAGGUGGUGGUGUCUUCUCGAAUUCCUGACCUUCUUUCCAUGGCAGAAGAAGCAACCCUUUUGCUAACUGAGAUAUUGCAUUGUUUACAAAUUGAAGAUGUGUGGUGACCCCGCGACAAGCAAGUCUACCAAAGCCACUUUUCAGCAGCAUCUUCUCACUUCCUGUCUCUGUUUCAAUUAUGAGAACAGAUGUAGAGAUUAGAAUCGGCAAAGGGAAAAGGCCCAUGGGAUGAAGGCCAGAAGAAAUCAAGCUACAAGUUUUUCUCUCCAGUGGAGUCCCAUGAGGAUGCACACAACUCUCCCAGCAGCAAUGUGGGACAACACAUGCAAAGUAUUGGCCAUCAGGGAAGCUCCCCCCAGCUUUGGUCACCAGGGUUUUUUAUUGGUUGUCAGUCAUGCACACAUUCAGUGCUUCUGUGACUGACCUCACCCACCAGACUGUAACCUCAAGAGCAAAAUCAGGUAUUCACCAUAAAUCAGACUGUUAGGAUAAACUUAUAUGCUCAAAUUGCCAUAGCAUGGCCCAAGGCCUCAGGCUUAUGGAAAUAUUAUCAGGCAGGGUAUUCCAGGAGCUCAGAAAUUGUCUCCAGGAGACGAAUGGGACAGGGAAGGUAGGAGGUUGUAGCAACUUGCUAAAAUGGGAGACAUUUCACAAGAAAAAAUCAGUUGUAGAAAAUCCUCAUUCAUCAAAGGGUCACUGUAUUCUUGGGCAUAAAACCUUGACUGCACAUAUUUCCAGCUGUGCUUACAUUAAAAAUUCCCAAAGGGAUUUGUUGGAAGUAAGAAGAGAAAAAUGAUCAGUCUAAAUCUACAGAGUGACUGCAGAGGCAUGGAUUAGUACAUGUGAAUACUGAAUAUGCAAAUCAAUAAAGAAAACACAUUUAUUCUUGAGGC
ensembl:lncRNA novel transcript